CAUAUCGAAACUGUGUUUUUCCAUAGUGACCGGCCGAAUAUUAUGGUAACGAGCCCGUUUUACGGUGGUGACUGGUUAUCGCAGAUUGACUGGACCUUCCCUCUCCGUUAUAGCGAGUGACAGCCGACGACGGGGACGACAAUGCCUUUGAACGUGGAGAAAUUCCUGCAAACCGGAAAUCACGCCGAUGUCGAAUUCGUCGUGAAAUCGGAAAAAUUCGACGUCUCGAAGACCUUCAAGGCCCACAAGCAAUUACUGGCCUUAAGUAACGAAGUUUUUGAAGCCAUGUUCUACGGUCAGCUUGCCGAAAAGGACACCGUGGUCAUCACGGACCUCCACCCUGAUGGAUUCUACGGCCUUCUGAAGUACGUGUACGCGGGACAGGCCAGGAUCCAAAAUUGUUUCGAAGCCUUGCACACAAAUGCUGCAGCGGAGAAAUAUCUCUUCAAAGAGCUGACAAGUGCGUGCCUCGACUACAUUCGCCAGCACGUCGACGCCAAAGAAGCUUGUCUCCUGCUGAACCGUGCCUUCGAGAGCGGCUAUGGAUCGCUUGACAAAGUGGCGGAAGCCGUGCUCUAUAAGAAAGGCGAGGGUGUGCUGAGUUCCGACGCGUUCUCGAAUAGCCGGCUGGAGAUCGUGCAUCUUGUUCUGGACAAGGUGAGAAAUGCACAAGAGAUUUUCGUAAUUCAAGCGGCGCUACGGUGGGCGCGAUCAUAUUGCAAGGCGGGUGCCAUGGACUUCAAAACGACCAUUGCUGCCUUCCUGCCUAAGCUGCGGUUCUUGGCGCUGUCACCGUCGGAUUUCGUGGAGUUCAUCACCUCCGAGGACGCGCAAGGUGUGAUGGAAAAAGAAGACGCGUUCGCCAUUUUGUGCAACGUGAUCCACAAAGGGUGCGCUGAUCUGCCAGAAUGGGUAUGUCGGGAGAGUUCGCCACGUUGUACUAUGUUUGGUUGAUUUCAAUGAAAAUAGUACAUCACAAAACUGUUGGGCCAAUAGCCUAAGCUAGUGGAGGCCCCCAUCUUAUGUGUGACAGUGACAGUUUCGUCUGGUGUUACGGUGACAAAUCUGUCUUGUAUGGCUUUUGUAAGUGCUUUUAGCGCACUCCAAACCAACUGAUUUUCCAUCUCCAACUUACGUUAAUUCAAAAGAUAUCUUGUCUAGCAACCACUGUGCCUGUGUGAAUAAAAUUUGUUGCAUUGAAACAAGAUAAAUUGUUAAAAUGGGUUGCAUUCAAACGAUAUAAAUUGUUGUCAGCGAAGUUCUAUAAUCUUGAGUCACUGAAUUAAUGUGUAAGUAAAACUGAAGUACCAAAUAUAGAAGUUUGUUGGUUUUGUUUUGUUAGAGGAAAUCCUGCAAAUUUGCUGCUUAAUUUAAAGCAAACUUAUUCGGUAUAUUCCCGCAAUUUUUUGUAUAACACAGGCGGGUCUAUAGAGAAAAGUCUUCUCACAACUGUCACUCGGUUUUUUUACUCUUUUAUAGAACUGCAGCAGGUUUUACGCAAAUAUAGACAGCGAUUGUUUAGAUUUAGCGUCUCGCAAACGUUUCAAGAGAAAGACGUGUAGCCAAACCUUACUCUCAUGUCAUUGUUCGUAAAAAUGUGUUCCUAUGCACGCUUGGCGAGACGCCACAGCGUUACAUUUCUUGUCAAAAACUAAUUUAAGGGUCGAGUUCGUCGAGAUGUGUGCUGUAUUUUACUUUCAUCUGUGCUUCUGUGCCAGAAUAUUUAUGAAGCGACAGCCUUUUAUAUUGCACUGCUGUACAAUUAUAAAUGUAUUUCAGUAUCCUAGCUGUCAAGCAAGUUUGUCUGUACUUGAAUAGUUCAAGUCAAAAAUAUGUCUUUUGUUGAAAAUGUAAGGUGCCUAUUAAUGUUUUUCUGCGAUGACUGUGUGAGGUUAUUGUAAGUAGGUUAUUAAGGUUACGUUUGCUAACAAUGUUUCAUGGCAAUGGUGGAUGCGUGAACCUGCAUGGUAAUAAAGGGCGAAUAUAAACAUUAACAAGAUUUUGCAACAACUGCAGGGGGCAUGCUGUCUUCGCAGAAUUUGGAAUAAGUGCCGUGACUGGAGCUAUUAGUUUUCAGUAGAAACUGUGCAUACGGCACACGCUUUGUUAUGUAGGCACUAUAAAUUUGUCACAAAAUGCAAUGUGGUUGCAAGUAAGAGUUUUCCUUGCUGAAACAAUCUGGCGUGCGGGAAUGUACUAAACAUACAUGUUGCAGAAUCCGAGUAUUAAAACUCGUGCCAAUUACAGAGUUCCGAUAACGAAAAGUUAUGGUUUGAAUGGCGUCCGAUUUCAGUUCACCACUAACAACAUGCCUUCCAAAGACAUUAACUAGAAAACGUAAUGAGUGCUUAAGAGUUCAUUAACGUUCAUAUUAGGAGUUAUCGCGCAAAAUCUGACGUCGGCCACUGCUCUGUAACAUAGGCAGCAAAGAUGGUCUCAAACCUCUCAUUUUUGUUAACCUCAAACAAUCCUUUCAAAAGCGAAGCCAGGGGCCCGAGCACACAAAGAAUGUCAAACUGCGCCUUUCACAGUCGUCCACCUUGUCUAGCCCCGCACGUUGCAUUAUUACAAUGUGGAAAUCUAACUAGCUUGCUCAAGUGUGUGCACUCUGAACAUUUUGUGAUUGCUUCCAUCUAAGAAAGUUCGAGGAUUACUGUCAAAUUAUUGCGGUUGGAUGUUUCACGCUCACUGUACGUAAACGUUAAACGGCAUCGACACCACUACUGUUCUUUAGAGCCGCUUCAUCAAUUUCUUUGAAACAGAAGCAUUCUGUUUCGGUAGUAAGAAACAACUCGCUAAAAUUAGCUUACCGACCCUAUUUAAAGCUUAAUGAAUAUUAGGGGUUAAUAUUCAGAGACAUAGAGGCAGCUGGGAUAUCAUAAGCCAUCCUCUUACGCGACACGACCACGCGUUCUUGUGAAUACGAUCUAGCCGUGUGCUCUGAACUGUAAUCGUGUAUUGUAAAAGAUCAACCUUUUCACAUUGUGGGACUCAAGUUUUGGUUGGAACGUAUGACUAUACUGUGUAUGUCGCUUCUCUCACUAUGCUGUAAGUGCAGUUAUUGCUUUAUAUUACAGCUGUAACUCAAGCGAUGUCAAGGUGUGACACCGCGAGUGUGAUUGCUUGUGUACUUGUAUUUCCACCGCUUAAGCCUUCAAGAAAUGACGUCCUGUGAGGCCUGCCG
rnacentral:misc_RNA from 1 species